rnacentral:lncRNA from 1 species
GGUGAUAAGAAGUCAGUAGAACUGCUCUUAUCAAAACACCUAUUAAAAUAGCCAGUUAGACAAAAUAUGGUUAGGGAAUUGAAAGUAACAGUUGGAAGCUGGGAAAGAAGAGGUGUUGAAGAUAUUGCACAGGUUGGCAUUUGGGGUCUGUGGUUGAUGAUUUUGGUUAGUCUCUGCAUCAUCUCAACACUCAUCUUUUCUUGUGCAGAUGGUAUUUCUAAAGAGAAAGAAGCGACAACUCAUACUGAUAACUAUGGCGCUGGAUGUGGUGCAGGCUGUGGCGCCACCUGCGGCGCUUGACCUCUAGUAGACGACCAAAAAUACUGCUCCUAGAGAGAAUAGAAGAGAAAGAUAGCCACAGGCUGAAGAAGAUCCUAUACUCACACACAAGCAGCACAAAAACUAGGAGUGC